GACGAACGCUGGCGGCGUGCUUAACACAUGCAAGUCGAACGGACAGGCCCUGCUUUUGUGGGGUGCUCGAGUGGCGAACGGGUGAGUAACACGUGAGUAACCUGCCCUUAACUUUGGGAUAACUUCAGGAAACUGGGGCUAAUAUCGGAUAGGAGCUCCUGCUGCAUGGGGGGGGUUGGAAAGUUUCGGCGGUGGGGGCUGGACUCGCGGCUUAUCCGCUUGUUGGUGGGGUAGUGGUUUACCAAGGCUUUGACGGGUAGCCGGCCUGAGAGGGUGACCGGCCACAUUGCGACUGAGGGACGGCCCAGACUGCUACGGGAGGCAGCAGGGGGGAAUCUUGCACAAUGAGCGGAAGCCUGAGGCGACGACGCCGCGUUCGGGAUGACGGCCUUCGGGUGGUAAACCGCUUUCGCCUGUGACGAAGCGGGAGUGACGGUAAUGGGUAAAGAAGCACCGGCUAACUACGUG
rnacentral:rRNA from 1 species